GCCCAAUGAUGAGAUUUUGGCAUCUGUGAGCUGAAUGACCGAGGUUGUGCUCUAUGAUUGGUGGGUAAUCUUGGCUGAGCAGUGGAGGCUGACUGCCUUGCUGUAAGGGCCCACCUACAGUACUACUAGCAACCAAUCAAUAUUAUUUGCUUCCCAAAGAAAUGGGCCUAGCAAAUUAUUGGAAGCUUACACACACAUUCUCUCUCUCUCUCUCUCUCUCUCUCCUCUCUUUAUUCUUACAGUAGAGUCACAAUUCUGUUUAUGGUCUCACAGCUUUGAGCAUGUUCUUUGGUAAUCUGAGGGCA